UGGCGGACGGGUGAGUAACGCGUGGGUAACCUGCCUCAUACAGGGGGAUAACAGUUAGAAAUGACUACUAAUACCGCAUAAGCGCACAAAACCGCAUGGUUUGGUGUGAAAAACUGAGGUGGUAUGAGAUGGACCCGCGUCUGAUUAGCUAGUUGGAGAGGUAACGGCUCACCAAGGCAACGAUCAGUAGCCGACCUGAGAGGGUGACCGGCCACAUUGGGACUGAGACACGGCCCAAACUCCUACGGGAGGCAGCAG
rnacentral:rRNA from 1 species